CUCUCUCCUCUCUCUCCCUCCCUCGCGCCCCCGAGGCGGCGGGGAAGCUGCUGACACAGGCCCGGCUCGGCCCGGCCCCGCCUGCUCCCUCAGCGCCUCAGCCCCUUCCCGCCCUCAGCGCCCGGCCGGAGCUUCAAGUGCCAUCUUUUCAAGAUCAAAACCUGGAUCACUGCAUUUUCUGGUAGCAGCAAAGCCUAAACAGAAAGAGAUGGCUGAUGUUACAGGUGAUGAAAUAUCUCAGUAAGGAUUAAAAUAUCCAUGGAUGAAGAGAUAAUGACAAGAGACACUGAUGCAAACAUGCCUGUCAAAUCAUUAAAUGCUUUGAAACAACCAGCAAAAAAAGGCUGAAGAGAGAUUCCAGGCGGAGUGAGAAAAUCACAGAACUAAAAAAGUAGAAUCCCUGUAAAAACUACUGGAAGAACUAUCAAAGAUUCGAAAGAAAACAAAAACAAGAAAAUACAUCUAAUGCCUUAGAAAUAUUGUACUGUCUUUAAUGAUGCCAAAAUUUAUUUCCGUACUCACCAAAAUCUCUUCUGUCUGUCUGUAAAUCUCUUAAGGGUAUAGUUAUCCACCAGAUUAAAUCCACAGUCAUUACAUUGAAAUAUGUGGAAUUACUCUAGCUUUAGACUGAUGUUUUGGGGACAAUUAUCGUUUCUUCUAGUUAUUCUAUAAACUACCACCAUUUACAGUUCUACUCAGAUUUGUUACAAAAAGCUGUGAAUUUGGCCAAAAAGCCACUUUGUUCCUAAGAAAUGCCUCUCUAUUGUUAAUGUCAGGAUAAGGAUUAUUUGAAUGUACCUUUUAAAGUAGUACAGAACUGAGCUUUUAAAAAGCUAUGUGCUGGGAUGUCUGAUUAUAGUUUUUUACCUAAUCAAACAAAAGUGAUUUUGUCAAACUAAAGGGACUGAGUUCUAUCCCAGAAGUUACAACCUUGCCACAGUGUUAUGCCCACUGAAGUAGGUUACUUUUAAUUUUAUUUGGAUCACUCUACAUGCUGGUGCAUUUGUGCAGGCAUUUUUUCAGCACUUUCCCUGGAUUUCUUAAUUGCUUACUAUCACCCAACAGUUUUGCUCUCAUAGAUUUUAAAUUGGAUGUCUUUUAAAAAGACUGUCUUCCUUUUGAAGAAGAGAACUCCUCAUGCAGGGUAAGUGGCAGCUCUCUGUUCUGGUAAAUUGUAUCUUCACCAAUACAUAUGCCAGCCACACUAGCAGACUUGUGUUGAACAUUGCAUGUGAACAUCUAUAGAGGUUUCACAUUUACUUUGGUGAUUAAAAUAAUUGUAUUUUUUUACCUCAAACAUUUGUGGGCACUUCUUUCCUACUUCUACUUAGCUUUGUCACAUUGCUUCUCUUAACUUUUUACUGAUUUGUUAACUGGAAAUUAUUUUUAAGGAUGAAGUAGCUGGAGCAGUAUGUUGGACAAUCUCUUUUUUAUGUUGCUGUUGUACUAUAUUUUUCCACAACUGGAAAUCUUAACAGAAUUUAUAACAGUCAUUAGCCCCAAAAAGAAAAUUCUUUAGUAUCCUCUGGCCAUAAACUACUUUUAGAACAAGCAGAGACGGAAAAGAGUUUGCAAUGGAAACACACCCUUGGAAAAGUUUCUCGCUUCUAAAAGCCAGAUCAUUGUUUAAUCCCUGUAAAGGGAGCACUUGGCAAUUUGGGUCAAGUGUUAAUGAAGUGCUUCAUUUUCAUUUCUGGCUUUAUAAUCCCAAUUAUACAUUUUCAUGUGUCAUUCUAUGCCUGGUAAUAUUUUAACAUCUGUAAAUCCUGCCUCUUGAAGCUUUCAAACCAAGUCGCUAUACUGAUAUACUAAACCUCACAACAUAGAUGGUAAGGUAAUAUUCCCAUUUCUAAGAAGGAAAAAACUGAAGCAUGACGUGACAUACUCAGGGUUACACAGGCAACUAGGUGCAAAAUACUGGAAGUUUUGACUUCCAGUCCCACACUCUUCCUACAGAACAGCUGGUAGUCCAGAAGGAAUCAGUCUUUGGAAGGUUUUCUUAUGGCUACACAUAGCAAUGGUUAUGCAUCUAUUUUCACUUCAAUACCUUUCAUAAUAUGUCCUGUACUAUUCUGAAUUUAAAACAAGCCCUUUUCUCCCUGCAACUGCAGAGAUUGUUAGGUAGAAGACUAUCUUAUUUAAAUUUCAAAGGGCUUCUUUGUAGAAUACAUCCUUAUGGUGGAGCCACUAGUUUAAGCUUUUAAAUAAAAUCUUUACUCAGCAUGUUAAGAAAUUAUAGGGCAUUGCACACAAGGAGCAUUUCAGGCUACAUUUGCAACAGAAUUUAGUAUGUACAAGCAGAGUCAGAGUGUAAGAAUGUUCUGAUCUUUUGAGUAACUUCCAUUGUUCUGAGGUUGCAAGCCUUUGGCUUGACACUACUUCAACUAAUUUACCUGUACCACCUAAAAAUCAAAGAAACUGUCUCUCAUUCUCUUUGGCACUCUGUAUUUUUAAGAACCCAAGCAUAAAAUGUACCAUGUAUACUUAUCACAUGACUAAUUACAAUCCAACUACUUUGCACUCACAGAAUGCAUCUCACUAUGCUAAUUACAAUCAGUCAUCAUGCCAUGCAACUAUGGGUGGAUCCAUUAAUAAGAGAAACAGCAAUACAGAGUGGGCCAAUGCAACAGCACAUGGUGGUACCUUCCGUUUUGUAGCACCGUUAAAUUUGCAAGCACUUCAUACAUCCUCUUUCCCCAGUGAAUCACGGCAGUCCAUGGCAUGAUAUCAUCAGUGAAAAGAGACGGAGACUGUACACCAGCAAAACUACCUCGGGUACUUGCAUCGCCCACCUGAGAUAGCACAUACAGCCUGAGCAAGUAAGGAGAAUUCAGGCCUUAGCAGCUCCUUCUCCCCCUUUCCUCCGCACACAGAGACUGCCAAUGGAAAGCAAGAGCUGCUAGGGCUGGAUACAUAGUUAAUGAACUGGAUACACAUCACCAAAGUCAGAGUGCUCAGCUGGAAUUUGGGUUGCUGGGCCUGAGCUGGUUGUGUACUGGAGGCCUAUGGAGGCAAAUGUGCUGGGGAGAGCUGCAUAUAAAGCCUGGGACAGGAGAGCAGAGCUGUGUCACUUGGGGACCGAGCAUGGGUUGGUGCGAUAGGCUGAGGAGUGUGUCAGGGAGCUGUCAGAUUCUUAUAGGGCAAGGAGGCUCAAGGCCCAGUGCUUGACUGCGGCAUUUGCAGCAGCUCUGGAGGCAGGCAUAUACAUGAUAGUCAUGAUGGGAGAGUCUACUAUAAUAAUACAAGUGUCUGGCAUGUGGCUGGACAGCACAAUCUGUGCUAUGGCAUUUGAACGAUGACAAAACAGAGCCACCGGUGCAAAGAAUAAGCUCAUUCUAAACCAACAGCCCUCAAAUAAGCUUUAUAAAGUGUUUAAUUCUCAUUUAAGCAGAAAGCAUGUAAUUUUUCUGUUUCUUGUGCAAGGAUUUAGUUGUGUUGUCUACAUCUCUGUGUAAUUUAUCUCAUUGCAUGGAAAUAGAAAAAAAAAAGUGCCCCAGGGAGGGCACACUUAUCAUGAAUGCAAAAUAUGCCAGAGGGAUGUAUUCAACUCAUACAGCAUGCCAUGACAGCAAAUCGUAACCAUAUUACCAGUUAAAGCUGGAGAAAAAAAAUUAUAAAGGUCAUAAUUAAUGGAGUGUUCUUAUUAUUUGAAUUGUACCAUUGCACAAGUACAAUAGCAGUUCCCUGACUGGGAAACUGCCAUUACUUACUGUGGUGGAUGUACUUGACUUGCCUUCCAGCCAGAGCAGCAGCAGUUUGGUCCAAACUCCAGAGGAGGAGAGGGCCUGAGCCAUAUCCAGGCCAAGAACUCUUUCCAGGAGACCCACAAGGAAGCAGAAUGGCACACUGAACGCCGGUGGCUUGUGGGGGCAGGGAGUCUCAUGCAUACUUUUCCUACUGUAUGCAAUUUGACUACGAGUCAACCACUUCAUGACAGCCUGAAUGAGCCUACUUCGAGUUCUCCCUGCUAAAUAAGUGAGCUGUAUGGCAAUGGUUUUACUACUCACAGGUCAGUAGAUGAGCCCAAUUUAAGUUUAAUAUUAACCAUUUAGCUUAAGUAGAUGCACACUAAAUGUAAUUAAUUAUUUAGAGACAUAAGGUUGUAUGAUUUAAAUAAACUCUUUGCUUCAAGUUACUUAGUCAGCUGAAUUUGCUAAAAUUUUAAGCUGUAAAGUUCUGCUCAUAUUUACCAAAAGCAACUACAAAUGACAUUGAACACUUUCAAGACAAGGCCUAUUUUGCACUUCGCUGAGAAGAAAGGAUUUACUCAGACAAAACAGUACCUGCAAGGUUCUGGACAGUAAACAAUGUCUACAGCUGAACAAAACAAAGGCCCAUGUGGAAUCAGAGAAAAAGAUCCAAUGAGAAGCAAGAAGACCCCAUGUCAGAUAUUGCUAUUGGACUGAAUUGUCGUAUGAAUGGUCUGUGAAGAUAUGAAAGUCUAUGGUUUCCUAUGCUCGGGUUGGACCUCAGCACAGGUACCCAGCUUGAGCCAGCCGUCCUGCUAUUCUACUCCAUUAAAUUUUUUUUUUCCUAAGAA